rnacentral:rRNA from 1 species
UACGGGGGGAGCAAGCGUUGUUCGGAAUUACUGGGCGUAAAGGGCGCGUAGGCGGCCUGUUAAGUCGAACGUGAAAUCCCGGGGCUCAACCCCGGAACUGCAUCCGAUACUGCCAUGCUAGAGGAUUGGAGAGGUAGCUGGAAUUCUUGGUGUAGCAGUGAAAUGCGUAGAGAUCAAGAGGAACACUCGUGGCGAAAGCGAGCUACUGGACAAUUCCUGACGCUGAGGCUCGAAGGCUAGGGUAGCGAAAGGG